rnacentral:SRP_RNA from 1 species
UAAGGGUCACCUCGCAACGAUAUGUUGCAAACUCCGCCAGGUCCGGAAGGAAGCAACGGUAGCGACAGACUCGGGUGCGAGUAAUGGCUUUUGUGG